GCUGUCCUGUUUAAACUGUGUUCACUUCCUGCUGAGCUUUCCUGACUCAGACAACAGGCACUUCAUCAGAUCAGCGGACCUUCCCGUCUCCUCAUCGUCCUCUCUCGUACUGAACAUCAACCUCCAUUCAAACCUCCCAGGACCUUCCUUCUCUGUUUCUCCACGGUUUAUGACUGCAUAACCUCCAGAACACGAGAACCAUUACGGGCCGCCUGGGACCACACACACAUACUCACUCACACAGCACCAACAGCACAUGUGCAGUAUAUACUCAGUGAUAGACUCGGGUACGCCUGCUGUGUUCAGUUCAUGAUUAUGAUCCUCGUGGGUAAAUUCACAGUUCUGCUCGCUUCCGCUCUAACCUUGAACAUAACAACCUCUAAUGAAUCCUUUAUGGCUAAACAUAAACAUGCAUACACUGACUUAUAGGGGGUAGGUCUAUUUUUAGGUGUUUGUUGCAGGGUCAGCAUGUUUUCUGUCCAAACAACAUGUGGAGAUUUUUUAAUGGCUGAUUUAAUGUACCAUUUUUUCACUGUAGAUGUGCCUCAUGCUGCAGCUGAGCCAAAAUCCAUGCCAAGUGUAAUUUUUAGAGGUUGUGAUGUGUGUGAAAUUGUAUCUGUGCACAUGAAGUUUGGGUGCAAUAACUGAUUUUGUUGAUAGUUUAUGAAAGACCAAGUGAGGCCAUCUGACAAAAACUC